ACGGUGCCAGCCGCCGCGGUAAUACCGGCGCCUCAAGUGAUGAUCACUAUUAUUGGGCCUAAAGCGUCCGUAGCCGGUCUAAUACAUCCUUCGGUAAAUCCACCCGCUUAACGGGUGGGCUCUCGAGGGAAACUGCUUGACUUGGGACCGGGAGAUCUUAGGGGUACUCUCGGGGUAGGAGUGAAAUCCUGUAAUCCUAGACGGACCACCUGUUGCGAAAGGGCCACAAAAAAACGGAUCCGACGGUCAGGGACGAAACUUAGGGUCUCGAACCGGAUUAGAUACCCGGGUAGCCCUAGCCGUAAACGCUGU
rnacentral:rRNA from 1 species